rnacentral:lncRNA from 1 species
CAUUGCUCCAAGAUGGCGGCGGCGGCGGCAGCGGAGGAGAUGCUCUGCUGAGGGGCAGUUGCUAUGGUUACAGGGCCUGGACCUUCCUCCGGAAGGUGAGAAACAGGAGCGCAGCUCAGCUGGGCUGGAACUGCCCUCCUGGAACUCCCCCAGCCUACAACCUAGGAGGUGCAGGGACUGAGGCUCAGGCCAAAUCGCAACUCAGACCCAGUGAACCCAAGGCCUGAAGAGAAUUUGGAUUCAUUUACCUUGUUUUGUGGGGACUGGAGAGACAAGUAAACUCUCAGAGUAACUGUCCCCUCUGACUACCAUUUCUAAGGCAAGCCCCCUGUUUCUACUCUUGCGCCCCCUGCUGGUUUCCUGCCCUGUCUGUAAGUUGCAUGGCUUUUGUCCGUCUUUUUUUUGUUUGUUUGUUUGUUUUGAGACAGGGUCUCACCCAGGCUAGAGUGAAGUGGAGCAAUCUCGGCUCACUGCAACCUCCGCCUCCUGAGUUCAAGUGAUUCUCACACCUCAGCCUCCCCAAUAGCUGGGAUUACAGGAUGCCCCGGAGGCCCAGCUAGCCCCAGACUUCGGCCC